rnacentral:misc_RNA from 1 species
AAGUCGUAACAAGGUUUCCGUAGGUGAACCUGCGGAAGGAUCAUUAAUGAGUUUGCGCGGUCGCUGCUGGUUCUUACAAGUGCACACCGUGUCUUUCUUAUCCACCCCAUUGUGCAUGUCGGUACGCGCCGUCUUUGCGACGCUGUAGUCCACACAUAACCUAUUAUUACGAGUAGAACGUGCUUGUUGGAAAUAAUAAUACAACUAUCAACAACGGAUCUCUUGGCAUCC